rnacentral:lncRNA from 1 species
GUGCACUAAGCUCAUGGUAUACGCGAGCCCGACCACAAGGAUCUAUUAUAUGCAGUCUUACCCAACAUUUUUGUAAGAAAACAAGGAAAGAAAAAAACGCAAUAAAGCAUUUGUGAUGGAUCUUACCAGGUAAAUCCUUCCAUAAACCACUCAUUACAUUCUGUUGAAAUGGUGAUAGAGCAUACUACAACAGCCUUCAACUUCACUAUUUGCUUCCACAUUUUCAAUUACACAAAUUAACACUGAGUCGGUUAUACAAAUUCUCUAUAUCCAAAGUUAGAGAUAUAAAAGCUUCAAUCCUAGGAAGGAUAUAGAAACCGAGCACUAUCUAUAUAUAGUAACUUCUAACUCAUGAACUACCUAAAUAUAUAUAAAAUUUAAGUUUUUUGCACAGUCAUUGUACAAGAUAUUCUACACUAUCAGGUAACUUGACCUGUUAUUGCAGCUUACCUAAUUUUUCUUUUUUACAAUUUUUAUGUAAGAAAUUGGGUAAACUGCAAUAGCAGAUCAAGUUGCAGUUUACUAUAGAAUAUUAUGUACACUGACACUACACAAAACUUAAAAUCAUAUCUAUAUCCAUAUCCAUUUCUAUCAAUACGGUCCCGGUGCACUAAGCUCACAUCGGACCACAAGGAUCUAUUAUACGCAGUCAGAAAAAAUAAAGUACACCGACAGACAACAAGACUUAAAAUCAUAUCUAUAUCCAUUUCUAUCUAUACGGGCCCGUGCACCAAGCUCACAGUAUACGCGGGCCCAACCACAAAGAUCUAUUAUAGGCUCACAUCUAUAUCCAUUUCUAUCUAUAAAGGCCCGGUGCACUAAGCACACAGUAUACACGGCCCACGGGCCAAACCAUAAGAAUCUAUUAUAAGCAGUUUUACUAUACAUUUCUGUAUUAAAAAAAGUGAAUUAUAAGAAAAUAAGCAAAACGAAAAAGCAAUAAACAAGUACUUACGUGUGAACACCGACAAGUGGACCAAGCAAAAGAGUAGCGCUAAUCCAAUUUUCGGAGACUUUGUGAUGGAUCUUACCAGGUAGAUCUUUCCAUAAACCACUCAUUACUUUCUGUUGAAAUGGCGAUAAUGCGUAUACUACUGCCUUCAAUUUCACUGGUUGCUUACCCAUUUUUGCGAAUGGUGAUUUUGCUCGUUGGAGAAUUCUAGGGUUUGUGUGAUUUUUG